rnacentral:rRNA from 1 species
AUUGAACGCUGGCGGCAUGCUUUACACAUGCAAGUCGAACGGUAACGCGGGGGCAACCCUGGCGACGAGUGGCGAACGGGUGAGUAAUACAUCGGAACGUGCCCAUUAGUGGGGGAUAACCCGGCGAAAGUCGGACUAAUACCGCAUACGUCCUACGGGAGAAAGCGGGGGAUCGAAAGACCUCGCGCUAAUGGAGCGGCCGAUGCCAGAUUAGCUUGUUGGUGGGGUAAAGGCUUACCAAGGCAGCGAUCUGUAGCUGGUCUGAGAGGACGACCAGCCACACUGGGACUGAGACACGGCCCAGACUCCUACGGGAGGCAGCAGUGGGGAAUUUUGGACAAUGGGGGCAACCCUGAUCCAGCAAUGCCGCGUGUGUGAUGAAGGCCUUCGGGUUGUAAAGCACUUUUGGUGGGAACGAAACGGUCUGGGCUAAUACCCUGGGCUAAUGACGGUACCCGCAGAAUAAGCACCGGCUAACUACGUG